rnacentral:rRNA from 1 species
GAUGAACGCUAGCGGGAGGCCUAACACAUGCAAGCCGAGCGGUAGAGUCUCUUCGGAGACUUGAGAGCGGCGCACGGGUGCGGAACACGUGUGCAACCUGCCUUUAUCUGGGGGAUAGCCUUUCGAAAGGAAGAUUAAUACCCCAUAAUAUACUGGAUGGCAUCAUCUGGUAUUGAAAACUCCGGUGGAUAGAGAUGGGCACGCGCAAGAUUAGAUAGUUGGUGAGGUAACGGCUCACCAAGUCAGCGAUCUUUAGGGGGCCUGAGAGGGUGAUCCCACACACUGGUACUGAGACACGGACCAGACUCCUACGGGAGGCAGCAGUGAGGAAUAUUGGACAAUGGGUGAGAGCCUGAUCCAGCCAUCCCGCGUGAAGGACGACGGCCCUAUGGGUUGUAAACUUCUUUUGUAUAGGGAUAAACCUAGAUACGUGUAUCUAGCUGAAGGUACUAUACGAAUAAGCACCGGCUAACUCCGUGCCAGCAGCCGCGGUAAUACGGAGGGUGCAAGCGUUAUCCGGAUUUAUUGGGUUUAAAGGGUCCGUAGGCUGAUUUGUAAGUCAGUGGUGAAAUCUCACAGCUUAACUGUGAAACUGCCAUUGAUACUGCAAGUCUUGAGUGUUGUUGAAGUAGCUGGAAUAAGUAGUGUAGCGGUGAAAUGCAUAGAUAUUACUUAGAACACCAAUUGCGAAGGCAGGUUACUAAGCAACAACUGACGCUGAUGGACGAAAGCGCGGGGAGCGAACAGGAUUAGAUACCCUGGUAGUCCACGCCGUAAACGAUGCUAACUCGUUUUUGGGUUUUCGAAUUCAGAGACUAAGCGAAAGUGAUAAGUUAGCCACCUGGGGAGUACGAACGCAAGUUUGAAACUCAAAGGAAUUGACGGGGGCCCGCACAAGCGGUGGAUUAUGUGGUUUAAUUCGAUGAUACGCGAGGAACCUUACCAAGGCUUAAAUGGGAAAUGACAGGUUUAGAAAUAGACUUUUCUUCGGACAUUUUUCAAGGUGCUGCAUGGUUGUCGUCAGCUCGUGCCGUGAGGUGUUAGGUUAAGUCCUGCAACGAGCGCAACCCCUGUCACUAGUUGCCAUCAUUAAGUUGGGGACUCUAGUGAGACUGCCUACGCAAGUAGAGAGGAAGGUGGGGAUGACGUCAAAUCAUCACGGCCCUUACGCCUUGGGCCACACACGUAAUACAAUGGCCGGUACAGAGGGCAGCUACACAGUGAUGUGAUGCAAAUCUCGAAAGCCGGUCUCAGUUCGGAUUGGAGUCUGCAACUCGACUCUAUGAAGCUGGAAUCGCUAGUAAUCGCGCAUCAGCCAUGGCGCGGUGAAUACGUUCCCGGGCCU